ACAGGGCACAGGGAACAGUCGGGGGCAGGGACACGUGGGGCCAGGAGGAGCCCAAGUCUCGCGCCCGUCCCCACUCCUGUGGCCUUUCUCCAGGCCUGCGCCCCCUGGCAGCACUGGAACGUCCUAGAAAAGACUGAGGAGGCUGAGAAGACGCCCGUAGGCAGCUGCUUUUUGGCUCAACCAGAGAGCGGCCGCCGCGCCGAGUACUCCCCCUGUCGUGGGAACACCCUGAGCCGCAUUUACAUGGAAAAUGAUUUUAGCUGGGACAAGCGUUACUGUGAAGCGGGCUUCAGCUCCGUGGUCACUCAGGCAAGUAGGGAGCAAAAGCGGAGUGGGGGCGGCUCCAAAACAGGGCCCCCUCUCACCCUCAGGACUUCCCUUCCAGGCCGGAGAGCUGGUGCUUGGGGCUCCUGGCGGCUAUUAUUUCUUAGGUCUCCUGGCCCAGGCUCCAAUUGCGGAUAUUUUCUCGAGUUACCGCCCAGGCAUCCUUUUGUGGCACGUGUCCUCCCAGAGCCUCUCCUUUGACUCCAGCAACCCAGAGUACUUCGACGGCUACUGGGGGUACUCGGUGGCCGUGGGCGAGUUCGACGGGGAUCUCAACACUACAGAGUAUGUCGUCGGUGCCCCCACUUGGAGCUGGAC
rnacentral:sRNA from 1 species